ensembl:lncRNA
GAUACCGGUGCGGGGCGCAUCACCGGCCGUCCCCCUCCGCGCAACGGCACUAAUCCCCUCGUGCCCAACCAACGGCGCUUGGUUCCGGGGUUCCGCUCGGUAACUCCUCCGGUGGAGCAAAGUUGCCCCGUCCGUCCGUGCCACCGGGGCAGGAGGCGGACGGGAGCCGGGGGCGGAGGGGGGGGGGCGCGCAAUCCGCGCGGUGCCGGAGCGGAGGUACUACUUGGCGGAUCCCGACGGCGCCCGUCGGCAGUGUGUUCCCGGGCCCCGCCGCGCUGUUGUUAUUUAUUUAACCAACGGGGAGUAACGAAACUCAGCCGGAGGGGUCGGGACGGCGGGGCGGGCGCUGCAGCUGGGGCUGGGCCGGGGCUGUGCGAUGGAAGGGCUCGGGCCCGAUGCGGCGGCGACAGCGCCGGACAGCGCCGGGCGGGUAGAGGCCUCUGGCCGAGGCCUGCGGAGCAGCAGCGCCGCCGAACGAAUUAAGAGGCCCCGUACCACCCGGAGCCCCGCGGGCUCCGGCGCAGCGCCCCUCGCAGCGCCUCCGACGGCCCCGGCGGGGCUCAGUGUGAGCCGCGGGAAGGGGAACGGGGGCUCCGUUCCGGCGGUAGCGUUGGUUCAGGGGCUCACGGAGCGGGCUGCGCGCCGCCUGGGCUCGGCGCUGCUCGACCGCAUCACGGCGUUACCGCUGUGAGUACGGGCAGAAAUGAGAAUCGGCCGCGAAACAAAGCGAAAUGAGCCCCGCGGCUUCCUCGUGCUGAAAGGAGAAGGGGAAAUGUGAGUGAUAGAGUACCGCUCGCGUUUAAAAUGAGCGCUGUGCAACACAACGUACAGCCGGUGCCCGUCGCUGCUUUCAACCAGCCAAAGUUUACGUUUGUCCCGCUGGAGAAAUGGUUCCGUUGAAAUAACACCCGCAGCCCUGCCCCAGCUGUGUGUCCCGGGAAACCCAGUGCAUAUUCCAGUGCAACCACCACGGCUCUGUGCCUUUUCUAUAUGCGUUUGUGGGUAUGUGCGUGUGUGCGAGAGAGAGGCUGUGAGAAAGAGAGAGUAAAUCCCCACAACAAUUGCCGUGGAUGGGCAAUAAACAAUUGCAGUUGGGCAUGGCACGAACUAUGUGCAUUGGAUUAACCUCGCUUGACCUCACCACAAUUGUAUUUAUUUAUCCAAUUCCGUAACAGGUUGCUACUGACCAAAAAGAAGUAGAAGUCAAUGAUCAACUACCUUCGUUUUUUUUUAUUUUAUUUUGUAGAAUUUCUGGUUUUUUUUUGUUUGUUUGUUUUUGGUUUUUAAUAUCAUAAUUUGUAAUUAUUUCCUUGCACAACCCUGAAGCCAAUAUAUGGGAACUCCUGAGGAAGAGCGCAGUGUGGAGGAUGUGACUGAGCUCUGCGGUGCUGGGGUAAGAGGAAAGGCCGAAGGAAAAGAGUACCACUGUCAGCUCGAUGGAUGCAGAUAUGCUGUGGCCCCCACACCCCCCGCGGCUCCAGCCUCCAGUCCCCCUUUACACGAAUACAGCGGCUCUGCACUCCCAGGCUCUUCCAAGGGGUUAAGCUGCUAAAAUGUCCUGACAGCUUAAGGAAUGAAUGAGGGUUUUUUCAGCCAUGAAGAAAGAGUAUUUAAUAACCACGCUUCGAUGGCAUCAUGUGUCCACGAAAAGAGUCGGGACACCUUAGAUUAACAACCUCUAACAUCGCGUUGGGUACAGUAAAUGCCUGGACGUACGCAUUUAUAACUCUAUCCCCCGGAUUCUAAGCUUGUCUUAUUUAUUCCAGGUUACCUGGGCAAUUAAGGUAAGAGCAGCUCAGCAGACAGCGAUAUCCCGCUGCUCGGGCAGGGCGAGCGGGGCCGGAACGCAGCGCUAACAAAGGCGAGAGGUGGUCAUACAGAUUGAAGAGGGGUGAAUGGGACUGGAGGUGGAGGAAUGAAUGGAAGCUAAGAGAGAGAGGAAGACGUAUUCAGCGGUCCACCCUUACAUCCGCGUUUGUAUAUUUAAGUUUAGGUGUCUGUCUCUAACCGACUUUCAGUUAAUCCCUAACAGCUGGUCGUAGUGCUAACGUUUAGUGAUUAGAAGUUACUCUAUUUAGCAUGCUGUAUCCUUCUUGCCUGGGUUUUGGUUACAGGUUAUACGAUUAGCAUUGCGAGAACAGUAGUGAACUAAACUUCCCAGUGAGAGGUCUUCACACCAGGGAAGUGUUACUUUGCGGCAGCAGCCCUGCCUCGUCAGUCAUUAGGAAGCUGCAGGUUGUCAGAGCCUUCUCUUGCGCGCACACACGCGCAGACACACACGCGCACACACAAAACCAUAGCACUAAAACUAAAUUAAGAAGCCGAUGAUUAAGACAAGCGUCUACGAGGCCUGUCAUUUCAGCAUCCUUCCAUCAUAAUGUUAUGGCACCGAGAAAUUUGCUUGAAAACCCUGGAAAAAAUGUCUAUGGGAGAGCCUGGUAUUUGAGAUAGCGUAAAUGUUAACAUCGAGUGGAGGCUGGGAGCUUCCGCGGAUGCAAGAUGGUAUUCCACUGAGGACACGGGUGCUGCAGGGACCUCUGGGCUGUCCGCACACUCGGGUGAGUAUCGCUCCCUUCUAUUGAAGCAGGUAUGCAGGCACUGCGCGAAUCGAAGUGGACCGCGUUUGAAAUCCGCAGCUCUGUUCCUUGCGGAGACUUCGGGGAACUCCCCCUAAAGAUAGAUCUGUAAUGAAAAGUCCCUGCCGGAUGACUAAUGGUUAUUGGCACUCGGUGCCCCUUUAAGGAGAGCGGCACAUAUUGUGCAGAAGACCUUGCGAGCACCCUUUAAAUACAAACAUUUUAAGCCCCCCUCCUAUGCAUCCCCACCCCUGUUGUUUUCGGGCUCGUUGUGUUGUAGCUCCUCUUCUCCCCCCCUCCUUUAAGCUCUCUCGUCUUCCCUCCCCCACCCCAUUCAGAACUAAUUGCUCAGUUGCUGAAAUGUUUCAAGAAGAGCUAAAUUUCCCCAUCCGAUGAUCUUUUGAGAAGCGGCACUGUACCAUAAAGACCAGCCAGCGGGGUACUGCUGGAGGAGAGGUAGCGUUCACACAGUGACGCUCGGCACUAGGUGUAAAGAGUCCCCCUCACGCUGAACUUCGAGAGGUGCCUUGCACGGGCAGGGCUUGGAACAACGAGGAAAUGGGAAGCGAUUGCUGUAGGGGACGGAAACCUUCGGUGGUGCCGUAAGCACCGGGACAGAACGGUGACAGAAGGGGACCUCGGGAGCAUCGCAGUGCGCCUUUCCCCCGGCGGCUGCAGCAGGGUGGGAAGGGAUGAUUUUCUUCGCCUUUGUUACACGCGAAAGGUUCUAUUUAUUUCCUAUACCUUUAGAAUCCCAUCCAUGGAGAGCCUAUCUGUAGACGUCGAGCUUCCAUUAGAAUUUGUCUGUUCUUCUGCCACUGCCAGAAUUUUUCAAAACAGAACGUUCUGACACUCGCUGCCAACCCGAAGGCUCGGAGGUGCUUUUUUUGCAAAACCCGAGGUGUCGCCCUUCUGUUACACAGCGGUGUGUUUGAGUGUCACCUCCGUCUGUGUGAUGCGUAUCCUCGCGAAACAAACAAAAAGACCACUAAGGGUCAGAAUGGAAAUUAAAAUAUCCCUGAAGAAUUACUCACAGAGCUAUGAUGAUAAUAAAACGUAGGGGGUAUUGGGCCACUUAAAAGUCGUAUAUUGUUCUCGAGGUUUCAAUACAACAUUUUAUUUUAUUCUGUUUGCUGGUAAAAUAUUCUUGGCCAAUGCGGCGUUUUUUUAUUUUUAUUUUUUAAAUUUUUAUUUUAUUUUUUUUGUCGGAGUAUUGAGGUUGAAUUCAAGAACAGGGAAAAAUGAGCAGGGUUUGGAUAGACUUGGAGCCGCUCUUUGACUCCCAGAAUAUUUUCCUAUUGCCCCUCUAAAGCCGCUUAGCCUCUUAUAAAUGUAAUCUUGAGCAAACGACACACGUAUCUGGGUCUGCAGUUUUUCGGUAACGCUAGAAAAUUUGAUUUCCUCUCGCCUUCCCUCCCCCCCUCACCUUCCCCCCAGCCCUGCCCCCCUCCCUCAGCACAGAGCCAGACCCGUCCCUCUCCGGGCAUUAUUCCCCAGGCGCUUGGAGCAGCCAGCGAGCAUCUGCCCACCCACCCUACCUGGCCUCCCCGCUCCGUGCAUCCAUGGCAGCCCUCGGUUUAGUGGGAUCCGAGCUUGACGCGAUGAGCCGCGGAUCCCAUUUUUAGGGCCUACAAAAGCACAACAUCCUCCCCUCUCCCCCCCCAUACGUCUCCUGGACCCCCCGUGUAACCACAGCAAAAUGCUGGAGGUAGCACAAAAGCCAUACACAACUGUACACCCGCGUAGGCAAGGCGCCUGGCGAGCCCCGGAGUAAAGCCACUUUUCACUUUCUCCGUGCCCGGGGCUCAUGCGGGAGGAGGCGGUGCGCGGCGCGGAGUUGUGCGCGGAUGCGGAGCUGCGCUCGGUGUGGGACCCGCGGUCGGGACUGGGGGGGGGGGGCGGGGAGGGGACGGGGACGAACGUUGCGGCUUCCGCAGUGCCCCAGUCGGAGGGGACGGCUCUCGUUGAGGGGUGUUCUGAGCACUUUAUAUUGGCGGGGUGGUCUCCAUGUUUUCUUUUUUCUUUCUUUCGCGGAGGGAGGGGAGAGAGAUGGUAAGGGGCUUGUUGGAUGAUUAUAACUGCUACCACUCAUAAAUAAGUUUCUUGGGGAAGGACUGAUAGCGUACCCUUGAUAUCUGUGGGUGUGUUCAUACAUUAUUUUCAUAUGAUAUGUCUUUUAGACAGAGCCUGUUUUCCUCCUCCCUCUCUCCCCAGCCCACCCUCCACCCCCCGCUUUUUUUUUUUUUUUUUUUUCUGGAGUUUGUUUCGCUUUUAAAGCAGCAGCACAAACAAACAAACACACAAAACCGACUGGCAACAAGUUAAAUCUCGUCCGCGUCCCUCCCACCGCGCGCGGACGGUGCCUCGCUACAGCCUGGGGUGGUGGUUCUGCCUCGGCAGUAAUCUGACCAAGAAGCGGCUGCACGCUGACUUCUGAGCGGUGACACUGUGGAGAGAAAAGGCGUUGAAAGAAACACUUCUCCCGGGAUGCACCAUCUCCUUUGUGUGUUCGCUCCUCUCCGUCUUUCAGACGGGGCGCUCCAUAGGCUUGCACACGCACACACGCGCACACGUACGCACUGAGUCUCUGUUUCCCCGGGAGUUUUCAGAAAACAGUGUUUAUUAGAACCGAUCUAUAAACUCCACCUGAACAAUGAAAUCACGCCGUAGCUCGGAAAACUCCAACAAACAAAUAUUUUGCACAAGUGAGACGAUGGCAUUGCACUUUAUUUGCCUGCUCGUUGCAAAACGCCAAUGACAGGUAUAGAUAAAAGGCUCAUAGCCCUUGUCCACGUUGGACUGGACAGAACCAUACCCAUUUAGGAACAGACCGGGUUUAUUUUCCCUCCCAAGGCGACUACAAGCUAGUUUUGCAGUUGUAUUAGGUACCGAAUCCACAAGAAAACAUUUUCUCCCUGAGGGUCCCGCUCAGGUCUCACUGAGGCUUCUGCAAGAGCCGCCUGCAUCGCACGCCUCAGCUUCUCCCUGCCUUCAGUGCAAAGAACUGCAGAUAGACAGUGUUUGCCUGUGCUCAGCGUACCUAGCACAUACCUCUUCACGCAACCGCACAGUUCGCAAAUGAUAGUUUAACUUUCUCUGUUGUGGUGGGCACGUGUUUUGUCAUCUGAAAUUAACUUGUGAAAGCCUUUGUAUCAUUUUUUGAUUUGUGUUUGGCGACAACGCGGAUCAUAUCUUACCGCGUUGAUGGUUGGUACAAUUGCUAAAUUAAAGGCAUGUUUUCGGCUUUGAGAAACAGCAACAAAAAAACAGCCCUCUGAGAGCUCAUCUUCAGCAGAACAACCCAAAGAGCACCGUAAUAACACAGCUCAAUAUUUCCUGCGUGCGCAGUGUCUAUGUCACUCGAUGUCUCUAUUGUCUCUGCCUAGGGAUACUCAAGGAACUCUCAGACUCGUUACCUAUGACCAUCACCUAAAGGAAUAUACGAAUAGAAUGUGGAUAAUCGCUCCAACUGCUUGGAGGAAUGCAAGUGGAUUCGUAUAUAUAUACUUUUUCUGUGUCCUUACCUGUUCUCCCAUGUAAACAUUAGGAACUGAACUCGUCUUGACGUGCUUUGGUGCCUGAGCCACACGGAGAGAGACGAACCACUACGAUAGAGUGAGCGAACCCCGUUGUGUGCGGUGCGGUGCGGUGCGGUGUUGUUCCCUCUGUUGAGGCUCCGCUUCCCCGUGAAGGGCGUCCCGCCGCGCCCAGCGCUGAGCCCCGCUCUUCUCCGGACACGCGGCUUUACGUGUAAAGCUUUUAGCGCGUUGGGGCUGAAAUUAUGAUUUUCCACGUUUCCAAAGGGACGGGGCUCUAUUUAUAAACGUUACAGGAGGUUUCGUUACUUCAGGAACAACAAAACAGGAACAGAGCUGUAAUUUUCAAGAAAAUAGGAUUUCAAAAUACAGAAAUAAAAAAAAGUAGAGAAGACGACGUAUAAUUCAAUCAAAUUACUGACAAUUGCUUUAAAAUUCAGAAUAGUAGCGAUCCAUUAUGUCUCUGUUUUAUUAGUGACAAGUACAAUUACUCUAAAAUAAAGAACACUGGUGAAUAUAUAAUUGGCUGUAAUCACGUUAGUAUUGGAAUAAAAAUGACGGGGACAUUUAACACUUUGACAACAAAAUGCUCAGAAACAACUUAUUUAUUCAAACAGUUUUUAUUUGCGUUCACGUGAGGCAGAAACACGCUUUUGCUUACGAUAAAUCAAUGUAGGUUCCCCCCCCCACACACUUUUAAUAUACAUAUAACUAAAGAAAGAUGAUUAAUUAUUUUGUUAUCUGCGGCUUAAUGAAGUCUCCCGUGCGCGGCUGCAUUGCCGCUGAUCGCUCGGUACCCAGAGAACGCCAUCUACAGGAAAAGGGCUUCAGAAUGAGCACAAAUCCAUACACUAUUGGUUAAGGGGAAAAAAAAAAAAAAAAGAAAGAAAAAAAAAAUCAGAGUUAAUAUUCCUCUCUAAAUCCGGCUCCGAUGUUACCCACCGCACCGAUCACAAUAUUUGCUUUGUAAUUGCUUUUCGCGAUUCAGUUUGUUAUAGUUUGACACAAUGUAGGAAUCUGUUACGAGGCCUUUUCUCUGAGAUGCGGCAUUUCAGAAAUACACUGAACUCCGCGAAGAAGCACUUUUUCUCCCCCUAAAGCAGCUCUUUUCUCUCGGGAGUGACAUGAUCGUCCCUGAACAACCCAGGCGCUCUGUCCCUUCAAGUGAAGUGUGGAAGACGCCCGCAAAAGAACCCCGAAAACAAAAUCACUUGAUUGAAAGCAUUUUGUGCAACAAUUGCAUCGUGGAAUAAGACACAACAUUUCUUUAUCUUUACUUUCACGUAUUUCCCUUUGGAUAACGCCUCGAAAUACCCUAGGCACGCUCUCCUCUGUUCGUGUAGAGCGUCAUUUGCCCCAUAGGGUAGUCCCUAAAGGUGCAGCUCGGCUGUGCUUUUCAUUUCUGAGCCUUUGGCGGAACCUCAUCGAAGUAGAAAGAUUGCCCCUUAAUAUUUCGGUCAGACAACUGUAGACCCGUGGAGACAGCGUAUAUCCUCCAUGGUGCGAAUCCAGCACCCCAGUCAAGCCAUAGAAAAUAAGAGAAAAUAGAGAAAAUAGAGGAAACUUUCCAGACUCAUCUAUCUACAUUUUUUUUUUCUCUCUCUCUCUUUUUCUCCCGGAUUUGUUUCAAUCCCGAACGAAUAUUUCUUCUAUAUAAUUAUUCCUUUAUUUGCUCUUUACCUCCCACUAUCGCCCAAUUUCCAGGUGCCCCUCUGGGUUUGUGUCUCUGCUCGGAGCCGGACCCCACCCUCUCCCCGCUCCGUGUCGCCGCAGCGCCCCGUUGGUGUCAGCCCCGAGCGUCCCCCGCGUGCGGCUCCCGCAGCGCUCCUCCGCCAUCUCCCUCCUUAACCCGGGUCACAAAUCCGGACGGGCUCGGUGAAUUUCAGGUGUGCAUUAAUCUGUGCAGCGCGGCACCAAAAGCAGCGGUUCGUUGACAUAAUUGCUGAGCAAAACUACCCACGGUGCACCCUCGAUGUAACGCGUUACUUUGAAAACCGAGGACAAAAGCCGGGAAACUUUAUUAUUGUUAUUCAUGCUCCUACUGGAAUCAGACUCAAACUUUAUGCCCCAGCUCUCCCUCUAUCUUCCCGCCUCGGGGCAUUGACAGCGAAUGUCCCAAAUCGAGAGUCUCUGUCACAUCCCCACUUCUAAACCUCGCUUAAUGCCAGGAACAGAGCUCCUCACCUCCCCCCCACCCCCUCGGCCGGCCGCUCCCGCAGAGCAGAGGGGCCCCGCUGUCCCUCCCCUCGGGCCGGGCUCUGCCGUUUCUAGGGUGCCUCGCACCAAACCGCAGAUGUCAGCCUUCCCCCUACGUGUUCGGGCUGUUAAUGCGGGCACUUCACACAACAGAAAUGUUCAUCUCUGGAGCCUUUCCCAGGGCCAGCCGCA